CGGCGGCCCGAGUGGUGGCCGCUAUUAUUGGGCCUAAAGCGUCCGUAGCCGGGCCCGUAAGUCCCUGGCGAAAUCCCACGGCUCAACCGUGGGGCUUGCUGGGGAUACUGCGGGCCUUGGGACCGGGAGAGGCCGGGGGUACCCCUGGGGUAGGGGUGAAAUCCUAUAAUCCCAGGGGGACCGCCAGUGGCGAAGGCGCCCGGCUGGAACGGGUCCGACGGUGAGGGACGAAGGCCAGGGGAGCGAACCGGAUUAGAUACCCGCGUAGUCC
rnacentral:rRNA from 1 species